rnacentral:rRNA from 1 species
AGUCACUGACAUUAGAUACCCCGGUAGUCCAGGGUGUAAACGCUGCAGACUUGGUGUUGGAGGCCUUUGGGGGCAUUCAGUGCCGGAGAGAAGUUGUUAAGUCUGCUACUUGGGAGUACGUCCGCAAGGAUGAAACUUAAAGGAAUUGGCGGGGGAGCACCGCAACGGGAGGAGCGUGCGGUUUAAUUGGAUUCAACACCGUAAACUCACCAGGGAAGACUGUUACAUGAAGGCCGAGAUGAAGACUCUGCUAGAUUUUCAG